rnacentral:rRNA from 1 species
CCCUUAGAUGUUCUGGGCUGCACGCGCGCUACACUGAUGCACUCAACGAGUUUACGACCUUGCCCGAUAGGGUUGGGUAAUCUUUUUAAAAUGCAUCGUGAUGGGGAUAGAUUAUUGCAAUUAUUAAUCUUCAACGAGGAAUUCCUAGUAAGCGCGAGUCAUCAGCUCGUGCUGAUUACGUCCCUGCCCUUUGUACACACCGCCCGUCGCUACUACCGAUUGAAUGGCUUAGUGAGGCUUCCGGAUUGGUUUAGAGAAGGGGGCAACUCCAUCUUGGAACCGAGAAGCUAGUCAAACUUGGUCAUUUAGAGGAAGUAAAAGUCGUAACA